UCGUCGAUCAUUUACAGACUACAGUCCCUCUCUCUCACUUCUUUAUUUCCCGCGAAUAUAUGUAGCUCAUCAUUCAUUAAUCUCUGUCAAUGGUUAUCUCACACCAGGUAUUUCACUUUCCUUGUACACAUCAAACUCUUAUUUCAAUUACUUAACUCCAAAUGAUUAAUCCCGUUUCAAGGGAAAUAUUUUGUUUCCUUUCAUGGAGUCUUCCUUUCUUCUCGCCAUUUUUUCUAGCCGUUUCUGCCCUUUCCAUAAUCCAUAUUAUGACCGUUGGGUUCUGUGCUCUGCAAAAAUUCAAAAUUUUGGGUUCAAAAUAUGAUUGGGGGUUUUCUUUCUUCUGAAUUCUGAUACUAUGGUUUUACCAUCAGUUAUAUUUUUCCCCCUCUUUUUUCCUGGGUUUGUUCAAGGUCUAACCUUAAACUGUAAGGAGGACUAGGAAUUAAUUUUCAUUUCAUCUAAAAAAACUAAAAUAAAGAAGUAUGGAGGAUAUUGAGGGGUCUGGUGCGGUCUGCAAAUUCGCCUACAAUCGAUGGUGCUGAUGAUCAUAAACCACUCAAUGUUAAGAAGGAUGAAGGCAACAAGAGGUUGAAUCGUACUAGAUGACCCUAAUAUUCCUAUCUCGUGUGAGAUUUUUCUUGUGUCAAACCAAAAAAGAUACUUCGAUGAGAGGGAAGGUCGAUUUGACUCGAAUCCUGGACCUGAUCUUGAAUCCUUGAGUCCAACGAGCUAUCACUGAGAGAGACGAAAAGGGGCUGACUUUAGACUAUAAGGAGCUUGAGGCACCACAGGAAUACAAGAGUGACAGCUAGAACAUCUUCAAAGGGGAAAUGGACAAAGGAAGAGGAUGAAACUUUGCGAGAUGCAGUUCAACAAUUUGAUGGAAAGUGCUGGAAAGGAAUAGGGAAGUUUUAAUAAGUAUUUCUAUGUUUCCACUCCUUGAUAGAAUUCUUCUGUCACGGUUUUCAGUACAAUUAGUUCAUGUUUGGUUUGUGUUAUUGGACAGUACAAUAGACGAUUUUUUGUUUAUUUUUUCUUCCUUACUUAAGUGAGUAGGAUCUUUUGCAGCCAAAUGCCUCCCUGGUCGAACAGAUGUGCAGUUCUUACAUCACUGGCAAAAAGUUAUUCACCCCAAACUUAAUAAAGGACCCUGGACUAAGGAGGAAGAUGAUGUUCUUAUCGAGUUAGUUGGUAAACAGGGUAACAAAAAAAGGUUUGAAGUAGCAAAACACCUUCCAGGUCGUAUAGCGUGAGAAACUUGGAGUUGAAGAGGAAGAGAAUGGCACCUAGGCGCACUCAUGGGCGCCUAGGCGCCCCGAUACACUAUUUAAAGCUGGUUUUUUCCCCUUCAUUAGUUAACACCCGAUUUUGAGAGAGAAAAAUAGAGUGAGGCUUGGAUAGAAUUUAUCAA